GACGAACGCUGGCGGCGUGCUUAACACAUGCAAGUCGAACGGAAAGGCCCUGCUUGUGUGGGGUGCUCGAGUGGCGAACGGGUGAGUAACACGUGAGUAACCUGCCCUUGACUUUGGGAUAACUUCAGGAAACUGGGGCUAAUACCGGAUAGGAGCUCCUGCUGCAUGGUGGGGGGUGGAAAGUCUCGGCGGUUGGGGAUGGACUCGCGGCUUAUCAGCUUGUUGGUGGGGUAGUGGCUUACCAAGGCUUGGACGGGUAGCCGGCCUGAGAGGGUGAACGGCCACAUUGGGACUGAGAUACGGCCCAGACUCCUACGGGAGGCAGCAGUGGGGAAUAUUGCACAAUGGGCGGAAGCCUGAUGCAGCAACGCCGCGUGCGGGAUGACGGCCUUCGGGUUGUAAACCGCUUUCGCCUGUGACGAAGCGUGAGUGACGGUAAUGGGUAAAGAAGCACCGGCUAACUACGUG
rnacentral:rRNA from 1 species